GAGUACGACCAUACUUGAGUGAAAGCACCAUAUCCCGUCCGAUUUGUGAAGUUAAGCACCCACAGGCUUAGUUAGUACUGAGGUCAGUGAUGACUCGGGAACCCUGAGUGCCGUACUCCCACUCCUUUUCUGCCUGGGCCCUGGGGUCGCGCAGGCCGCUUCUUCCUCCUCCUCGGUGCGUGUGUGUGCCACUCUCGUACCGCAAACCCGGACGCUUCUUCUGAGUACGACCAUACUUGAGUGAAAGCACCAUAUCCCGUCCGAUUUGUGAAGUUA
rnacentral:misc_RNA from 1 species